AACGAACGCUGGCGGCAUGCCUAACACAUGCAAGUCGAACGCGUGGCUACGGCCACGAGUGGCGCACGGGUGAGUAACGCGUGGGAACCUGCCCGGCAGUACGGGACAACCGCGGGAAACUGCGGCUAAUACCGUAUGAGCCCUGAGGGGGAAAGAUUUAUCGCUGUCGGAGGGGCCCGCGUCGGAUUAGGUAGUUGGUGGGGUAACGGUCUACCAAGCCUGCGAUCCGUAGCUGGUCUGAGAGGAUGAUCAGCCACACUGGGACUGAGACACGGCCCAGACGCCUACGGGAGGCAGCAGUGGGGAAUAUUGGACAAUGGGGGAAACCCUGAUCCAGCAAUGCCGCGUGAGUGAUGAAGGCCUUAGGGUUGUAAAGCUCUUUCGCACGCGACGAUGAUGACGGUAGCGUGAGAAGAAGCCCCGGCUAACUCCGUGCCAGCAGCCGCAGUAAUAC
rnacentral:rRNA from 1 species